rnacentral:lncRNA from 1 species
AUCUGCUUUAAAACACUUCAUAUAAUUAUAUAUUCAAAUAUAUAUUUCUCAUGUUUAUAUGCAAAAUUUUUUACAUGCAAAAUGUUGUAGGGAAUGUGAAAACAGUAUGCAGGUUUUGAAUGCAUUAUGAGAAUUAAUGCAUAAAGAUGUUUGUACCAGGACAGGCCUGCAGGAAACACGCUCGGCUGUCGAACUGAGCUCCGCCGCAGGAUCCACCCGGCCGGGCGUCUCUCAGGAUGCUCCUCUGACGGAAAAGUGACCCCAGACCACACGACACACUGCACUGACUCCAGGACGUCCAGGGAGACAGAACACAGUUGACUGCAGGACACAAACACACCUCUCAAUCCCACAAUGCACCUGACCUGAGCCCAUCUCACAGAGAAACAUCUGAGCGAUCUUCAUCGGAUCCGUCGGGACAGUCCUCACGGCCGUCACACACAAGAGCAGCUUCCACACACCCGAACGUCCUGCAGGCGAACUGUCCUUCCACACACACUAUUCUGGGCAAACCAUCAUCAGCGGAUGUAGAUGUAUACCAGAGUCCUGUAGGAAAUGAUCUCAGUAUUGUGAAAGCUUCAGUAUUGUUAUACACCAGUUCCUGCUGUGUCAAACACACACACACCUGUCGUGUUGAAGUAGGGUGUAGGAGUCAGAAUGUGAACGCCCGGUUCUCCCGUCGGACUGACAGCAGGUGGCGCUGUUGUGACGUGUGUGGGAGGAGCCACUCCUGGGCUGCCGUCCUGUGGACUCUUGGUGUGAAGUCCUGGACGUCCAGAGGUGUAGUUAAAGUGACCAGGACGUCCCGUUGGGCCGGUGGGGGUCUGUAAUCCUGGUAAACCUGGUGGAGCUGUGGUCACUUCACUACUGGGUGUGACCAACUCAUCUGAUCAGAACGAUGAAAAUAAUAACUCUGUUAGGUUGAUAUAAUAGAUAAUAUUACAUGCGCUACACAUUGCAUCAUAUAUUACACUUAUAGAAAAUGCUAAAAAAAAAAAGGCUAGGACCAUUAACACUGAUUGCAAUUUAUUAAUUACAUUUUUUCAACUCAUUACACACAUUUUCAAAACUUUACACACAACUCUAAGAACUGCACACAUUAAUUAGUGUUUGAUUAGUGUGUGGUUCUGGGCUUUAGUGUCAGGUUUAAAAAAUUGUGUGACAAGUAAUGAUUUUGUAAGCAGUUGAAAAAAAUUAAUGCAUAGAUCAUAGAAUGAAUUAAUAUUGCUAUUAUUUAUUUAACAUAU